rnacentral:lncRNA from 1 species
AGCGAACUUACAUAUAAUUACCUGAUAUUUCAGUUUUUUCUUUGACUUUGGUAUUUAGAUCAUUUAAAAAUUUCCAAGUGUUGAGGUCUGUUGUUCUUUAAAUUUUUAUUAAUUUCUAGGUUUAUUGCAUUGUGGUCAAGGAGUGUAGCUUCUAUUAUUUCUGCUUUUUGGAAAUAGUUGGGGCUUUCUUUGUGACCUACAAUAUGAUCCAUUUUGAAAAAAAUUUAUAUGUUUAUCAGAAAAGAAUGAAGGGGCAUAUUAAUACCCCCCAUAACCUAGUUCUAUAAUUAGCAUAUAAUAAUUGUUCAAAAACUGUUUAUUAGUGAACUUGAACAUCAAUUAAUUAAAUGCUAAUUCAUCUUUUAUAUUUAUUCUAAUUCUCUAUGUCAUUUACUUUUACUGUUUUAUUCUCCAGUCUCCUAAUUUUUUUUUUUUCUUGCAGGGAAAGAUUCACCCUGAGCUAACAUCUGUUGCCAAUAUUCCUCCUCUUUUCAUUUUCUCCCCAAAGUCCUAGUGGUUGUAUAUCCUAGUUGUAAGUCGUUCUAGUUCUUCUGUGUGAGCUGCCACCACGGCAUGGCAACUCACAGACAGGUGGAGUGGCUCCUCAACUGUAAAGCGAACCCUGGCCACCAAAGCAAAGUGUGCCGAACUUUAACCACUAGGCCAUCAGGGUUGGCUCUGGUCUCCUAAUGUAUAUCUUGCUUUAUCCCUUACUCCCCUUCCCAAAUAAAGCGGACUUACAGCAGAUGUGUUAACAUCUUCCAUUUCAAUUGGAGUCCUGAGACGUUUUUCUUUGAAUUUUCAACCCUUUGUAUGCUAGCAUUUUCGGGCUGUGUUACCCAGUACAUGGAUACUGAUGUGUGCUAUAAUUUCACGGUGGGUGGCAUAGCUAUCAGUGUAAAACUUCCUUUGCUCCAUUCAGUGUGUUGGCCUUGAUUUAUUCUUUGACCGAAAUUCAUAUUCUGAUCCCUGCUGUCUUUGUGUUUGCAUUCAUCUGAUAAAUUUUUGUCUGUCCUCUUCUUUAAGCCUUUCUGCAUCAUUUUCUUUUAGCUGAGUCCUUUUGAAGCAACACAUACCAUAAUUGAAUUUUAUUUUUAAACCCAACUGAUAAAUUUGGUUUAAUUUCUGCCGUCUUGUUUUAUGUGUUGGGGGUUUUAUAAAACCCUGCCAUUUCCUAAGUUCUAUGCCUUUUGGUUAAACUGACUGUCCCUUAUCUCUUUCUAUAUUCUCUAGUCAUUUGAGAAGCACACUUCUUGUUUUAGCCGUAGUGGUUCAUGCCUUUCUUUAUUCAGUGUGUAUUUGGUGGCAGGCACUGUUCUAGGCACUAUGGAUAUAUGAUAAAAGAGACAAAGUCUUUCUCUCAAGGUGCUUUCCUUCUAAUGGGGGGACAGACAAUAAACACACAAGUACAUAAUUAUUAAGAUGUACAGGGCAUGAGGCGUGCCAUGGAAAUAUGCCAGAGGAAUGUGAGGGAGGGUGGCUGGAGGGCCUGUAUUAUUGGGUGAUCAGAGAAGACCUCCCUGGAGGAUGCUACAUUUAAGCUGAUUGGUGACAGGAGACAGAGGAAGGAGAUAAAACUCCCCUGUGAAGGCUGCCCUCCCUCUGCCAGGAGGAAAGGAACAUUCUCAUCACCAGAGACAAGGAGUUGAGGCCAAGAAGAAUCUGUGCAAACACGUCUUGUGAAAAUAACCCUUCUGUUCCUUUUGCCUCUUUAGUUAUUUUUUGCCGUUCACUACACUUUCUUCAGCCUAGUAUAUAAGCACCGAGGCCUAACAGCGUUUUGGGUCUCUGUUUUCCUGUGGAGGCUCCUGUGUCCAUGUAAAAAUAGAAUUUGUAUGUUUUUCUCCUGUUGAUCUGUCUUAUGUCAACUGAAUUCUCCAGUCCACCAGUCCAGCCAGAGACUCUGAGAAGACAGAGGAAAAGUGUGCCUCCUUGCACCAUGAAGAUGUGUGUAGAAUUCUUGUCUACUGUGGUAGAUUGUCUGCAAAGAUGGCCCCCGACAGUUUCUCCCAUCCUACUAUGCGCAUACCACUCUUCCCAUCAAGAGGCUACUGAGUGACGAGACACCAUGUGGACAGAGUCGUGACAGCUUGCAGCUGUUCCUGCCGCUCUGGCUGAGGCUACAGGCGUUGGGACGCCUACCACAGCAUGGCUUGCCAAGCAGUGCCAUGUCCGCACCCAGGAUCUGAACAGGCGAACCCUGGGCCGCCGAAGCAGAAUGUGCACACUUAACUGCUACGCGACCAGGCUGGCCCCUAAAAAGGGGAAACCACAAUAGAGGCUCUUGCCCAUGUCUCCUCUGGCUCCCUCUGCCUCCUCACCAACCCUGGUGCUGCCCCACAGGUUCCUCUGUGGCAUGGCGUGCCGCCUCCUCUUGGAAACUCUCCUGAGCCUCCGCGCUAGCUGCUCCUCUGUGGUCCCCUGCGUAUCCGUACCUCUGGCAUACAGCACAGUCUUGAAGGUUUCAUCUGCCUGGAGACAGUUGGCACACAGCAGAGUGAGAAGCGGCCAUCGUACACUCCAGCACCUGCAUCCUCUGUGUCCCUACUCACCUGCCAGAUGUCUAAAGGCAGGGACUGUGAUCAUCCUAUACAUCUUGAGGAUGUCUCCUACUGUCCCAACCUGGCCCCGGCCUCAGCCUCUGCCCGUUUCCAAGGAGCUCUGGCUGCUUGUCUUUGUUGGAGCUGAUGUUUCACAGGGAAAGCCCUGCCCCACCCUUCUGCCUGCCUUCUAGCUUAGGCCGUCAGCCCAGCCGCAUAAGAGCAAACGGGAGAAGAAGUCGCAGAAGUCUUGGUCUCGCAUGUGUGCCCCAUCCCCGUUAGACAGUGCCCCUGACCACCCAGUGGCCAAGCCUCCUCCCACAAACUGGCGGCCAGCCCUCAUCUUGGCAGAACCACAGGCAGAUCUGGUCCCAUCUUGGGUGCACGGGGGAGGGUGUGCAGGUGCCGGGCCGUGGCUUUGUGGCCCGGGCACUUCCAGGUGCUGCCUGGAAUGGAUCUCCCACAGAAACACUGUUUCAAAGAUGGCACACUUGGAGAGUUCUGUUUGUUCUGUUUGUACAAAUGGCCCCACCUGGAAAGGGAAACAGAGGGCUUAAACAGUGUUGUGAGAUUUUCCCAUGUUUACCAAUAGUUUUAACUUUUUCCUGUAAAUAGUUAAGGUCCAAUCAAAGAGACCCGAUGUGUUGAUAGACUCAGUAUUAUUUCUAUGUGGCUGUCUGAAUCAUCAUUGGAUUCGUUUCUUAGGGCUGCCGUAACACAUCACCACAAAUGUGGUGACUUAAAACGAUGGAUACGUAUUCUCUCACAGUUCCAGAGGCCAGGAGUCCAAAAUCCCUCAGAGUUGGUUCCUUGCUGGGGGCUCCAGGGAGCAUCUGUACAGGCCUCUCUCUUAGCUUCUUGGAGGCUGUUGGCAGUCUUGGCAUUGCUCAGCUGUGGCAGCAUCACUCCAGCCUCUGCCUCCGUGGUCACAUGGCAUUCUCUGUGUGUGUCUGCAUCCCAAUUUCCCUCUUCUUAUAAGGACACCAGUUGUUGUCUUAGGGCCCACCCAAAUCAGUAUGAUCUCAUCUUAACUUGAUUAUGUCUAUGAAGACUCUAUUUCCAAAUGAGGUCACCUCCACAGGUAGCAGAAAAUAGGACUUGAACAUAUUUUUUUGAGGGGGGACACAAUUCAAUCCACAACGAUUAUCAAAGUAAAUUAAAAGAGAAUAGGGGCUGAGCCCAUGGCCAAAUGGUUGAGUUCGCGUGCUCCGCUUCGGCGGCCCAGGGUUCACCAGUUCAGAUCCUGGGUGUGGACAUAGAACCACUUAUCAAGCCAUGCUGUGGCAGCAUCCCACGUAGAACUAGAAUGACUUACAACUAGGAUAUACAACUGUGUACUGGGGCUUUGGGGAGGGAAAAAGAAAGAGGAAGAUUGGCAACAGAUGUGAGCUCAGGGUCAAUCUUCCUCACCAAAAAGCUUUAAAAAAAAAGAAUUAGAAUAGUGACAUGUGACAAAUGUUAUUUGAAUAAUGGUGUAGUGAGAUAUUCCUAGGUUUACCAAUAGUCACAACUUUUUCAAAUACAGAAAGACUGGUUUAUACUUGGAUUACUGAAAAAUGGAAAGAUAAAUGUUUUCACCUCUCUUAAACUCCUAAUUAACACAUGCAAGUGGAAAAUGGGGAAUAAACACAAGUAGUCCUUUACAAGAAAUGGCAAAACAAACAUAGAGAAAUCUUAUUCAUACAAGUAUGAAAAAAUCAG